GAGGUCUGACUGCAGCAUUUACCAUCUCUUUGAUCACCCAGGUUGAGUUGGCUGAUCUGGCUGGCUAGGUAGCUGUCCCCUUCCAUC
rnacentral:sRNA from 1 species